rnacentral:rRNA from 1 species
GUAUAAUGGGUCAGCGACUUAUAUUCUGUAGCAAGGUUAACCGAAUAGGGGAGCCGAAGGGAAACCGAGUCUUAACUGGGCGUUAAGUUGCAGGGUAUAGACCCGAAACCCGGUGAUCUAGCCAUGGGCAGGUUGAAGGUUGGGUAACACUAACUGGAGGACCGAACCGACUAAUGUUGAAAAAUUAGCGGAUGACUUGUGGCUGGGGGGGAAAGGCCAAUCAAACCGGGAGAUAGCUGGUUCUCCCCGAAAGCUAUUUAGGUAGCGCCUCGUGAAUUCAUCUCCGGGGGUAGAGCACUGUUUCGGCAAGGGGGUCAUCCCGACUUACCAACCCGAUGCAAACUGCGAAUACCGGAGAAUGUUAUCACGGGAGACACACGGCGGGUGCUAACGUCCGUCGUGAAGAGGGAAACAACCCAGACCGCCAGCUAAGGUCCCAAAGUCAUGGUUAAGUGGGAAACGAUGUGGGAAGGCCCAGACAGCCAGGAUGUUGGCUUAGAAGCAGCCAUCAUUUAAAGAAAGCGUAAUAGCUCACUGGUCGAGUCGGCCUGCGCGGAAGAUGUAACGGGGCUAAACCAUGCACCGAAGCUGCGGCAGCGACGCUUAUGCGUUGUUGGGUAGGGGAGCGUUCUGUAAGCCUGUGAAGGUGUGCUGUGAGGCAUGCUGGAGGUAUCAGAAGUGCGAAUGCUGACAUAAGUAACGAUAAAGCGGGUGAAAAGCCCGCUCGCCGGAAGACCAAGGGUUCCUGUCCAACGUUAAUCGGGGCAGGGUGAGUCGACCCCUAAGGCGAGGCCGAAAGGCGUAGUCGAUGGGAAACAGGUUAAUAUUCCUGUACUUGGUGUUACUGCGAAGGGGGGACGGAGAAGGCUAUGUUGGCCGGGCGACGGUUGUCCCGGUUUAAGCGUGUAGGCUGGUUUUCCAGGCAAAUCCGGAAAAUCAAGGCUGAGGCGUGAUGACGAGGCACUACGGUGCUGAAGCAACAAAUGCCCUGCUUCCAGGAAAAGCCUCUAAGCAUCAGGUAACAUCAAAUCGUACCCCAAACCGACACAGGUGGUCAGGUAGAGAAUACCAAGGCGCUUGAGAGAACUCGGGUGAAGGAACUAGGCAAAAUGGUGCCGUAACUUCGGGAGAAGGCACGCUGAUAUGUAGGUGAAGUCCCUCGCGGAUGGAGCUGAAAUCAGUCGAAGAUACCAGCUGGCUGCAACUGUUUAUUAAAAACACAGCACUGUGCAAACACGAAAGUGGACGUAUACGGUGUGACGCCUGCCCGGUGCCGGAAGGUUAAUUGAUGGGGUCAGCGCAAGCGAAGCUCUUGAUCGAAGCCCCGGUAAACGGCGGCCGUAACUAUAACGGUCCUAAGGUAGCGAAAUUCCUUGUCGGGUAAGUUCCGACCUGCACGAAUGGCGUAAUGAUGGCCAGGCUGUCUCCACCCGAGACUCAGUGAAAUUGAACUCGCUGUGAAGAUGCAGUGUACCCGCGGCAAGACGGAAAGACCCCGUGAACCUUUACUAUAGCUUGACACUGAACAUUGAGCCUUGAUGUGUAGGAUAGGUGGGAGGCUUAGAAGUGUGGACGCCAGUCUGCAUGGAGCCGACCUUGAAAUACCACCCUUUAAUGUUUGAUGUUCUAACGUUGACCCGUAAUCCGGGUUGCGGACAGUGUCUGGUGGGUAGUUUGACUGGGGCGGUCUCCUCCUAAAGAGUAACGGAGGAGCACGAAGGUUGGCUAAUCCUGGUCGGACAUCAGGAGGUUAGUGCAAUGGCAUAAGCCAGCUUGACUGCGAGCGUGACGGCGCGAGCAGGUGCGAAAGCAGGUCAUAGUGAUCCGGUGGUUCUGAAUGGAAGGGCCAUCGCUCAACGGAUAAAAGGUACUCCGGGGAUAACAGGCUGAUACCGCCCAAGAGUUCAUAUCGACGGCGGUGUUUGGCACCUCGAUGUCGGCUCAUCACAUCCUGGGGCUGAAGUAGGUCCCAAGGGUAUGGCUGUUCGCCAUUUAAAGUGGUACGCGAGCUGGGUUUAGAACGUCGUGAGACAGUUCGGUCCCUAUCUGCCGUGGGCGCUGGAGAACUGAGGGGGGCUGCUCCUAGUACGAGAGGACCGGAGUGGACGCAUCACUGGUGUUCGGGUUGUCAUGCCAAUGGCACUGCCCGGUAGCUAAAUGCGGAAGAGAUAAGUGCUGAAAGCAUCUAAGCACGAAACUUGCCCCGAGAUGAGUUCUCCCUGACCCUUUAAGGGUCCUGAAGGAACGUUGAAGACGACGACGUUGAUAGGCCGGGUGUGUAAGCGCAGCGAUGCGUUGAGCUAACCGGUACUAAUGAACCGUGAGGCUUAACC